rnacentral:lncRNA from 1 species
CAAAGAGGGAUUAUGGAUAUGCCUACAGGAGUCUUGCAAGCAGAGAAGGGCCGUUGUGUUAAAUAGUGACUGUACUCAGUUUAGAUGCGAGCACAUAGACAAAGCUGUUUAUCAGCUUUCUCAACCAAAAACGCAACACAUGAUAAGCGCUGAACAGCUAGUAUCGUAUCCAUGUUCCAAUGCUUUGCGGGACACAAUUCGUGGAAACCUUGAGGAUUUAUCGCUUAGAUAUGAUUGCACACCAGAAGUAGAACUAAGUGAUACGGUAUUUGCAGUAUAUGCAACAGCGGCGCGAGCAAUCCGUUGGGAUUCUGCCACGUCAAGCGAAAUGCUGACCAUCCCUCUAUAACCUGUUGUGGUAAAAAUUGCCGUAGAAUAAUGUCUGAGGCGAAGCAGGAAUGAGUGCAAGCAUUAUGUAUUCAUAUCCACACAAUGCUGUGUGCUCUAGCUUUGACCUCACCUAUAUCGAAGGCGGUGACCAAUGAACCAGCAGAUAUAACCUUAGAGGAAACGAUCACGGAACUGCCGGAACGCGUCACGACGGAAGCUAGCAGUAUUCAAAGGGAAUCUACUUUGAAGGUAUGAUAUUUCGUUUCCUACGGCAGCUAGUGUGAAUAAUGUGGAUAUUUUUGGGUGUUCUUCUAGCCUCAAAUUAUAACUUUUUUGUGAAUGCUUCGUGCAGUUGAAAAAUCAUCAAUAAUUAUUAUAUUAGUUGUUGUUCCAAAAAAGACUGCGACGUUUAUUAAAUUUUAGCACUUACGAUGCGGCGAUUAUUGAAGAGCGGGGUUAAUUAAUAACAUUCUUGAUUAUUUUACUUGAUUUAUUCGAGCUGGACUUUUAAAUAGUCACGAUAAACCUACAUUUCCAGACUGAAGAAAUAACUGAAAAGUUAUGAUUUCGGAGAGAGAUAAUGUUUAGAUUACGCGCGAACCAUGACCAUUGCUCACGACAACCACGCCCAUUUUCAUAAUUGUCCCAUGUUAAAUUUAACUACACAGUAAAUUAAUUAAAAGGCACCAUUUUAACUCCCAAGACCCCUUUUAAACGGGCUAUAUUGACAUUAUUAAAUCAGGAUCAUUUUUGGCCCGAUUCAAAGUUCUGUUUGGGCCCUAUAUUUUGGAGAGCUGAUCAGGCCUUUCCCCUCUUUUUAUAGAGCAAUUAUGACUAUUGUACAACAGAGGAAAAUAGCCAUUUUAGGCCUAUUAAUAAAUGAGAAGCAUUAUUGGCCCCAGUAACAGCCCCAGUUUUUAAAAGAGCCAAAAAAGCCCGUUGGAGCCAUUUUGGCUUCUACGGUUCAUUCACGUUCUGGUCAUUCACGUUCUGGCAUCAGGAUAAAUUAGCUCUUAGAAGCAUUAUUGGCACCACACUAGAGACAUUUUAAAAGCCAAAACAGCUCUUGGAGCCUUUUUAGCCCCUCUCUGUUUUUACGAAUAUGACCAUGAAGAGAGUUGUAUAAAAAAAUUGUAAAUAUGGAUGUAAACAUCGAUAUUUAUAAUCCUUGGCGUUUUUAGAUGGCAUUUACACGGUCACUUCCAUAUGGUACCGACAUGAAGUCCAACAUAUUAAUUUCCACCGAGAAGGAUGCGGGUAGUGUUAUGGGUCUGGAUUGAGGAUGGCCACAUCAGUUUGUUCCAGUAGAAGAGAUAUGCAAACUCUGUUCGUCUUUUUUGUCCGAGCCAAUGUUUCAUCCAGGUCAAAGAGGAAAAUCACGAGUUUUAACUUCGGUUUGAUUAUGAUUAUAGAAAACACUGUAAUGGUGUAACAAUAACGUUACAAUUGCAGUUAUAGCGAAUGUUUUGUCCGUAUAACAUUUUAAAAAUUGCCAUAUUCCAUAAAGAUAUUAUAUUCUAUAAAACCGCAUUCAAAUUUAAGUGCAUUCAAAUAGACAUAUAAACUUCUCAAAUUUAUAGAUAACAUAUACCAAAGAAAACGAGCAACAUGGCAGCAUGAUUUCGUUAGAGGAAAAGGCGGUUUACACCAGAAAUGGAAAUGCAUUCAAGAUCAAGAUUGAAGAAUUGCCGCCAAUAAUGCCUGAUGCCAUGCGAAAUGAGAGCGCUAUGAACUCCGAACACGAGAAACAGAGUGCCAUUUUAAAAUCUUUGGAGUAUGACGGUGAUCCAGCAAAUUACACCAACUCAUAAAGGAAAAACAACUGGAUAUAGAGAAUCUUAAAGAAAUGUCUUUUGAAGCGAUAAAAGAUAUAUGCGAACAAUGUUCCAUUUCCACUCAGAGAAAAUCAAAGUGUACUGUCGCAUCAAUGUUUCUUUGCUUGACUGAGUCAGUACGAGAUGCUGUAGACUUGUAUUUGUCAAUGAAAUACCACCCGAUACUCUUUAUCAACGACACACCAUGUGGGUUAGCACGCGGCAUAUAGAAUGUAGAUUUCCAGAUAUCUGCACAGACUUAUGAGGAAACAUAGGUGGUUGUUUUGAAACACCAACAACUGAAAGGGAUCCGAUUCAGAACCACAACAUUCCAGCAAUCGUGCCGCCUGAAUACAAAAUGGACGGUACUGUAUACAUCGAGGCCGAAGAUAGUGCAUAUGUCGACCCUGCUACUGGUUCAACUGACCGCUAUAUCUUGGGAGAUAAAUUCCAUUCGACCACGAAUCCUCACAAAUCACCUUUAUGCGCGUAUCAUGACAUCAACCUUUGUGAUCAGGCAAACUGCGUGGUAACCAGUACGCAAGAAUCGCAAAACAACCGAAAGAACAUCAGGCGGUUGCAUAGUUCAUGUCAUCAAAAUUUCGAAACACACAUUUUAUUUAAUUACUUGCUGGAUUUCUAUCGAAAUGAACAAGUCGUGAAAGAUCAGGAGCGAAAUCUCUCAAAACUGCUUAAGCGAAACCAGAAACUAGUGAGAGAUAAUUUGCUACGCUUCGUGGUGCGCUAGUUGCCUAUUUGCAGUGACGUAUAUUCAU